GGAGACACCGGGCGACCGUCCGGCCAGGUAGGACCAGGGAACCCAGCUGCGGUCCUCGGGCCCAUAGCCAACCCAGUCCACCAGGUAUUGGUACCCACGCCCCCGGCGGCGUACGGCGAGCAGCUGGUCGACAUCCCAGACCAUGUCACCACCGUCGAGGACCCUGGGGGGUGGCUACCGGUUUGAGGCGCGAGACAUGGAAGACGGGAUGGAUCUUGAGUGAGAUUAUUGUGGAUGCUUAUUAAGACAACCAACCCUAUUGAACGACAAUGGACCCUUUCCCCAGCAGCCAUUUUGACGUGUGAUAGUAGGGUUUUAGUGUAUCCGUUGGUGUGGCGUGGACCAUGGGAUCCUCAAGUGCCUCCGUGGGUGUGGUGUGGACCAUGGGAUCCUCAAAUGCCUCCGUGGGUGUGGCGUGGACCAUGGGAUCCUCAAGUGUCUCCAUGGGUGUGGCGUGGACCAUGGGUUCCUCCGGGUCUACAGCUGUCAGAUUCAGGGUCACAAGGUCUGAUGUCUGUGAAAAUCAGAAUGAGUUUUAUUGUUGCCACGUAGGCUUUCACCUAAGAGGAAUUUACUUGGUCAAUUAGUGCAUUCAGAAAACAAUACAUUGACGUGUCAUAACAGUGCAAAUUACAGCGAUACAGUGCAAAUGUAUGUACAGUGAUGUUUGGAAUUCAAUAUAUAUGAUAAAUAGCGCUUAUAUAGCACUUUUAUCCAUACCCAACCCUCCAAUCAUUGGACAACCUGCUCUAC